rfam:Desulfobacteraceae bacterium 4572_88 ex4572_88_scaffold_2137, whole genome shotgun sequence.
CCCGGGGUUGGCACCCCAGGCUGUAUUCUGUCGCCGCUUUGCGGCU